rnacentral:misc_RNA from 1 species
AACUUUUGGCAAUGGAUCACUUGGCUCUCGCAUCGAUGAAGAACGCAGCGAAAUGCGAGAAGUAAUGGGAAUUGCAGAAUUCAGUGAAUCAUCGAAUCUUUGAACGCACCUUGCGCCCCUUGGUUAUUCCUUGGGGCAUGCCUGUUUGAGUAUCAUGAACACCUCAACUCUCAUGGUCUUCCAUGACGAGCUUGUACUUUGGGGGUUUGCUGGCCCUGCGGCCGGCUCCUCUCAAACACAUCAGCUUGCCAGUGUUUGGCGGCAUCUCACGGGUGUGAUAACUAUCUACGCUCGCGGUUGUCUGCCAGGUAACCCUCAGCGAUGGAGGUUCAUUGGGGCUCAUAAACGUCUCUCCUCGGCGAGGACAACUUUUGAACGUUCGAUCUCAAAUCAGGUAGGACUACCCGCUGAACUUAAGCAUAUCAAUAAGCGGAGGAU